rnacentral:lncRNA from 1 species
CUGGACCACAGUAUUUGGUUUUCAUGCUUCUCCUUUGAACUGGAAACAUGGUAUUUGGUUUUCUGGGAGUAAUCCACAUGACUAUCCCUCUUACAGCCUUUAUUUUCCCGCUCUUCCUACUCCCUUCUGUGCUUUCUUUCUCCACGAUCAUCAUCAUCCCUUCUAUAAUGCCUUCUUUCUCCAUGACCAUCAUCAUCAUCCCUUCUGCUGCGCUUUCUCUCUCCAUGAUAAUCAUCGUCCCCUCUGUACUUUCUUUCCCCACGAACAUCCUCAUCCCUUGAGCUCUUUCUCUCUCUGUGAUCAUCAUCUUCCCUUGAGUUCCUUCUUACUUUGCGAUCAUCCUCUUCCCUUGAGUUCUUCCUUUCUUUGCGAUCAUCCUCAUACCUAGAGUUCUUUAUUUCUACACUGCCAUCCCCAUCCCUUUUGUUUUGUGCUUCUCUAUGACGACCCUCAUCCCUUGAGUGCUUUCUUUCUCCAAAAUCAUCUUCAUCCCUCAAGGUCUUUCUUCCUGUACGAUCAUCCUCAAUCCUUCUAGUCUUUGUUUCUCUAAGAUCAUCCCCAUCCCUAGAGCUCUUCUCUCGUCGGCCAUCGCCAUCCUGAGAGUUCUUUCUUUCUCCUCUGCCACCCUCAUCCCUUAAGUUCUUUCUUUCUCCGUAAUCAUCCCCAUCCCUAGAGCUCCUUUUCUCUCCACGGCCAUUGCCAUCCCUUAAGUUCUUCCUUUCUCCAUAAUCAUCCCCAUCCCUAGAGCUUCUUUUCUCUCCACGGACAUCGCCAUCCAGAGAGUUCUUUCUUUCUCUACUGCCAACAUCAUCCCUUAAGUUCUUUCUUUCUCCAUAAUCAUCCCCAUCCCUCAGUGACUUCCUUUCUGCAUGUUCAUCCUCAAUCCUUCUGAUCUUUCUUUCUCCGUGAUCAUCUUCAUCCCUCAAGUGCUUUCUUCCUGUAGGAUAAUCUUCAUCCUUUCCAUGCCUUCUCUCUCCACGAACAUCUUCAUCUCUUAAGCUUUUCUUCUCCCGGCGAUCUUCCUCGUCCCUUUUAUGCUUUCCAUCUCUUGAAUCAUCUUCAUUCCUUCCAUGUUUUUUUUCUUCAUGGUUAUCCUGAUCCCUUUUAUAAUCAUUAUCAUUUCUUCCCUUCCUUCUUGUUUCAUAAUCCUCCCUAUUCCGAUCAAUUCGUCCAACAGAUUGUGAUUCAACAUCCCUGUUAUAAUUUCUGCCUCUCUGAUCAGAAGUUUC